GCGGGAGUUGCCAAGCCUGGUCAACGGCGCAGGACUUAAGAUCCUGUCCCUUAGUGGGUUCGCAGGUUCGAAUCCUGCCUCCCGCA
rnacentral:tRNA from 1 species